rnacentral:rRNA from 1 species
UACGUAGGGUGCAAGCGUUGUCCGGAAUUAUUGGGCGUAAAGAGCUCGUAGGCGGUUUGUCGCGUCUGCUGUGAAAACCCGAGGCUCAACCUCGGGCCUGCAGUGGGUACGGGCAGACUAGAGUGCGGUAGGGGAGAUUGGAAUUCCUGGUGUAGCGGUGGAAUGCGCAGAUAUCAGGAGGAACACCAAUGGCGAAGGCAGCUACCUGGCCUAAAACUGACGCUGAGGUGCGAAAGCGUGGGGAGCGAACGGG